CGAGAAAGGAGGGAAUCGAACCCCCAUAAAAUGGUUUCAAGCCAACCACAUCACCACUCUGACACUUUCUU
rnacentral:tRNA from 1 species